CCCUAUGGGGUGCAGCAGGCGAGAAACCUUUGCAAUGUGCGCAAGCACGACAAGGUUAAUCCGAGUGUUUCCUGCUAAAGGAAUCUUUUGUUAGUCCUAAAAACACUAGUGAAUAAGGGGUGGGCAAGUUCUGGUGUCAGCCGCCGCGGUAAAACCAGCACCUCAAGUGGUCAGGAGGAUUAUUGGGCCUAAAGCAUCCGUAGCUUGCUCUGUAAGUUUCCGGUUAAAUCCAUUAGCUCAACUAACGGGCUGCCGGAAAAACUGCAUAGCUAGGAAGUGGGAGAGGUAGACGGUACUCGGUAGGAAGGGGUAAAAUCCUUUGAUCUAUUGAUGACCACCUGUGGCGAAGGCGGUCUACCAGAACACGUUCGACAGUGAGGGAUGAAAGCUGGGGGAGCAAACCGGAUUAGAUACCCGGGUAGUCCCAGCUGUAAACGAUGCAGACUCGAUGAUGCCCUGGCUUGUGGCCAGUGCAGUGUCGCAGGGAAGCCGUUAAGUUUGCCGCCUGGGAAGUACGUACGCAAGUAUGAAACUUAAAGGAAUUGGCGGGGGAGCACCACAAGGGGUGAAGCCUGCGGUUCAAUUGGAGUCAACGCCAGAAAUCUUACCCGGAGAGACAGCAGAAUGAAGGUCAAGCUGAAGACUUUACCAGACAAGCUGAGAGGUAGUGCAUGGCC
rnacentral:rRNA from 1 species